UGUGAUGCCCACAAAAAAAAAUGCAUGCGUGUAUAAUUGUGCAUAUUCAUUUUCUAUAUGAAUAUGCAUAUACACACAUGCACACACACACACACACACAGGAAUGUCACUGAUAUAUC
rnacentral:miRNA from 1 species